GACGAACGCUGGCGGCGUGCUUAACACAUGCAAGUCGAACGGAAAGGCCCUGCUUUUGUGGGGUGCUCGAGUGGCGAACGGGUGAGUAACACGUGAGUAACCUGCCCUUGACUUUGGGAUAACUUCAGGAAACUGGGGCUAAUACCGGAUAGGAGCUCCUGCUGCAUGGUGGGGGUUGGAAAGUUUCGGCGGUUGGGGAUGGACUCGCGGCUUAUCAGCUUGUUGAUGGGGUAGUGGCUUACCAAGGCUUUGACGGGUAGCCGGCCUGAGAGGGUGACCGGCCACAUUGGGACUGAGAUACGGCCCAGACUCCUACGGGAGGCAGCAGUGGGGAAUAUUGCACAAUGGGCGGAAGCCUGAUGCAGCAACGCCGCGUGCGAGAUGACGGCCUUCGGGUUGUAAACCGCUUUCGCCUGUGACGAAGCGUGAGUGACGGUAAUGGGUAAAGAAGCACCGGCUAACUACGUG
rnacentral:rRNA from 1 species